GGGCCCGUAGCUCAGCGGUAGAGCAGUCGGCUCAUAACCGAUCGGUCGCUGGUUCGAAUCCGGCCGGGCCCACCA
rnacentral:tRNA from 1 species